AGGCCUGCAGAGAGAGAGGCAGGGUCUGAUCUGCAGCCUCAGUAGCAGCUGUUGAUCAGCCACUGCCUCUCUCUUUCUCUCCC
rfam:Myotis brandtii contig279808, whole genome shotgun sequence.